rnacentral:tRNA from 1 species
GGUCCUAUAGCUCAGUUGGUUAGAGCACCUGACUCAUAAUCAGGUGGUCCCCGGUUCGAGCCUGGGUGGGACCA